rnacentral:rRNA from 1 species
CUACGGGCCGCAGCAGGCGAGAAAACUUUGCAAUGUGCGAAAGCACGAUAAGGUUAAUCCGAGUGGUUUCUGCUAAAGGAACCUUUUGACAGUCCUAGAAACACUGUUGAAUAAGGGGUGGGUAAGUUCUGGUGUCAGCCGCCGCGGUAAAACCAGCACCUCAAGUGGUCAGGAUGAUUAUUGGGCCUAAAGCAUCCGUAGCCGGCUCUGUAAGUUUUCGGUUAAAUCUGUACGCUCAACGUACAGGCUGUCGGGAAUACUGUAGAGCUAGGGAGUGGGAGAGGUAGACGGUACUCGGUAGGAAGGGGUAAAAUCCUUUGAUCUAUUGAUGACCACCUGUGGCGAAGGCGGUCUACCAGAACACGUCCGACGGUGAGGGAUGAAAGCUGGGGGAGCAAACCGGAUUAGAUACCCCCGUAGUC